GCCCGCCAGCCCCGGGACAGCCCGCCUGGCGCGCGGGGCUCUGCGCGCUGCGACCCUCCCCGGCAGUCCCGCCCGCCUCUCCUCGCCCUCUCUCUGCCUGGCCUCCAACUUUGCCUCUCGCUAUCCUCUCCGCCGGCGCCCCCUUUCCCGGCGGUCCCCGGGAUGGUCCCCGGCACCCCGAGGACGCCGAGGUUACGGGAAGUUCGGGGACUGGCGGGAGAAGGGGUUUGGGGGUGGUCCGCGGCGAGGGGCGCGGGGUGCAUCUUCUCUUCCUUUUAUGGGCUGCCACACUUGUGUAUCCCUUCUUCCUUGAAUUUAACCAGGAGUGAGCAGUGGACAGCUUCUUCCCUAUGAGAAGGAGGUGAAGCAGGACCUGAAAUCCCGUGCUCAGCUCCCACAUGCCCCGUGUCCAGGACAAGUCCUUUGCUGAAUCAGCGGCAGACACCACCCGGAGCCCUGCGGGAGCCUUUCCCUGUUCUUCCAGCAUGGAUCUGAAACUCCCUUCCCACUUUCUGCAGCCUCCCAGAGAUAGUUCAGGCUCCAGCCUCAUGUGAUAGCAUGAAGAGAAACUGGUUCCAACAGCUGUGUGCUCUGCUGCCCUCAUCCCAAACAACAGUUUAAAUGCACAAUUACGCUUUUCUCUAAGGCCCAAAAUAGGAUAGGAAAGAUCGUUUUGCUAUCCCUGAAUGCCUGUCACCCUUGUUUCGUAAGCAGGAAGUCAGUCCCAGAAUAGUUGUUCUGCUCCCUCCCUUCUAAUAAGUGCUGCGCUGAGUGUGCUUGCUUUGCCAGAUGGUUAAAACAGAGCAGGGGAUAGAAGGACAGAUGUCUUCACCCUCAUGGAGUUCACCUUCCAGUAGGAGGAGGCGAUAGGCCGGGGUCUGCACAUGUGCGUGCUACAGCCUGUUCCACGGUGCGUGGCGUGCGGGGCAGAGACAGGAUUUCACCAUGUUGGCUAGGAUGGUCUCGAUCUCCUGACCUUGUGAUCCGCCCCUCCCUCAGCCUCCCAAAGUGCUGGGAUUACAGGCGUGAGCCACUGCACCCUGCCAGAAAACUCAUUCUUCUACUCCAUCCUACAGUUUUCCCUAAGAGAGAAACAAUAAAACGCCACCACGACCAAUGGCAAAAAGCUGGCACCCACUCCACGACUUUUCAUAUCUACACGUUUGUACAGCUUUAUUUUUAAGCAUUCUGAAAUUCUAUGCAGGAGAGACCCCAGCUAGGUUUAGGGAGUCCUAGGGUUUGUGGAGUAAAUGAAGUUUCUCCCUAGAAUUAGGGAGGGUAGAGACAGGCAGAGAACUGACAAUCCUAACAGCUGCUGUCCUCAGAGCCACUGUUUCUGAGAGCUGCUCGCUGAGUGCUUCUAGCGAGUUAAAUGGUGUUCGCCCAAAAGACCUGUUCACGUCCUGAUCCUGGGAACCUGUGGCUGUGAUCUUAUUUGGAAAAAGCUCUACAUUACGUCUUUGCAGAAGUAAUCAUGUUAAGGAUCUUGAGAGGACGUGACCCUGAAUUAUCCGGCUGUGCUUGACAUCCAAUGACUGGUGAUGUUGUAAGAGAAAGACGGAGGGAGAUGUAAGAUAUGAGAGAAGGCCACGCCGAGACUGGAGUGAUGUGGCCGUGAGCCGAGGAAUGCCUGGAGCCACCAGAAGCUGGCAAAGGCAGAAGGAGCCUCCUCUGGACCCUGUGGUGGGUACGCAGCCUGGCAGAUAUAUUCAUUUUGGACUUCUGGCCUCCAGGGCUGUGAGAGAAUACAUUUCUGCAGUUUUAAGCCACGCAAUCUGUGUCCCUGGGAAGCCCAAAUAGGGCGAGACCUUUUGCCAAGUGGUCUCCAAGUGUCACGUCAUCGAAUCCUUCUCCCGGGCUUGUGCCAUAGUCUUUCCACUUUAGAGAGGAGGAAACGGAGGCUCUGGGGCACAAAGCCAGUCAGUGGCGGGGCCUGACUUUCAACCCAGCCUGCAUGGGGUCAGAGAACCCACUUUCCCCGUGGGGCCUGCGGCCUAUGCUAAGGAUGCUUGUUCAUCUCUCCUGGGCCCGGGAGUGGUUCUUCUGGCCUAGAAGGCAAGAGAAGCCAGUCUUUCGGUUUCAAGGUUUCCCAUUAGUGGAGUCAAGCAAAAAUGGUGUGUUGCGCUUCUUCCUGAGCUCAGCCUGGGAGCACGGCCUUAACAUGCUCAGUGGAUCCCAAGACGGCAGCAUGGCGGUGCCAGCCUGGCAGCCUUAGCUCCUUGCAGCUGUGCUUGUGAAGGGAGCAGUGAGUGGCUUCCCUCUGUGACCACCUUGGGUCCUAAGUUUCACUGGGGCUGGGAUCCAUGCGUCUUGCAAUUGGCUAGGAAUUUCCCGGGCUUUCCCUCCCUUCCCUGUUCAGGGCACUGGGUGUGAGGCAUUGCAUCCGUUCUUCUGCUCACCUGCUUCCCCCUAAGAGUGUGAGCUGUAUAAAGGCAGGAACCAAACAGGAGCCUCCACGUGUUCCCAGUUCAAGGGCAGUGUCCCUUGUGUGUUUCUUCAAUAAUUCAGUGGAUGACUUAUUCUGCACGGACACUGCACACACUCGGCCCUGCCGUCUCCGGAGCUGGGAGGUGUGGAGCUGGCUCCUGACCUAUUUACACACUGAGGAGGGAUGUGGAAAACAGGAGGAGUCCCAGGGCUCCAAUGCAAAGAGGAGCCUCUUCAUUCCCUCUGCCGUGGCCGUGCAAGGGACAGCGCCUUGUGGGAUUGUGUCCUCCACCCAAUUAUCCUUAGCAUUAGUUUGCUAAGGAUAAUGGCCUCCAGCUCCACCCAUGUCCCUGCAAAGGACAUGAUCUCAUUCCUUUCUGUGUCUGCAUAGUAUUCCAUGGUGUAUAUGUACCGCGUUUUCUUUAUCGAGUCUAUCAUUGAUGGGCGCUUCAGUUGAUUCCAUGUCUUUGCUACUGUGACUCGUGCUGCAAUGAGCAUUCGCGUGCAUGCCUUUAUGGUGGAAUUAUUUCUAUUCCUUUGGGUGCAUACCCAGUCAUGGGAUUGCUGGGUCAAAUGGCAUUUCUGCCUCUAGGUCUUUAAGGAAUUGCCACGCUGUCUUCCACAAUGCAAGCAAGACGUUAUUGAAAGUGUAAAGGGGGCUGCUAAUUACGCUGGGGCAGGCGGGGCAAACCAGGACCCUGCCAGGCGAGUCUAGGCCAUGGCCCCACACCAGAAGAUGAGGGCUGGAGACUCCUGGAGAGGAAUCUGAGUGGCGAGACCACCUGCAUUCAUUAUGUGUCAACUCUGCCAGGUGACAGUCCCCAGUGAGCCCAUCAAACAUGAACCUAGGUGCUGUUGGGAAGGUCUUUGGAUGCCAUUAACAUCUACAAUCAGUUGGUUUUCAGUAGAGGAGAUUAUCCUCAAGAAUGUGGGCGGGCCUCAUCCAGUGAGCUGAAAGGCCUUGAGAGCAGAACUAGGAUUUUGGAGGAGGAUGAAGUGUUGCCUCCGGACCGCAGCGUCACCUCUUGCCUGGGAAUUUCCAGCUUCCUUUUCAGACUUCGGACUUGCCUCCAAGCUCCCUGAAUCUUUUCAUAUAUUUAUGUCCUAUUGCAGAUUGUGUUUCUCUGGCUGGACUGUAACUGAUGAGGAGGACUGAAAUUCCAGGCUUGGUUGUAUAGCAUAUAAGUGAGG
rnacentral:lncRNA from 1 species